rnacentral:lncRNA from 1 species
CCGUCUCGGUGCUCGCUGGCAGUAGGGGACGCGCGGCCUUCUCAUUGGCCCGUAGGACACCCGCUCCAGACCGGGAGACGCAGCCACGGGGCUGCCGGAGUCGAGCGCGGGGAAGAGCUCGUCGCUGGUCGGUCACUGGCCGGCCGCGAGAACCUUGCUUCACAAUACCCAAGAACAUCAAGAGAGACAAAGGGUCAAGUACCUCACUCCACCUUACCUAAGAACAGCAACACAGCCAUCAGGAUAAGAGUGAAUAUAUGAAGGAGGA